CGCCCGUGGGGGACCCGUGCUGGAGCAGUUUGCUCCUGGGGGAUGGACCCUGUGGUACGGAGCCAUGUGGGAGCAGUUCUUGAGGAGCUGCUGCCUGUGGGCAGCUGCCGCAGGCUCAGUUUGAGAAGGACGGCAUCCCGUGGGAGGGACCCCACAUGGAGCAGGGGAAGAAAGGGACUGUGAAGGAGCUGUGGAGAUGAAGUGUUAGGGACUGACCGCAGUCCCCACUCCCUGUUCCCCUGCACUGCCUGGGGGGAGCAGAACUGUGUAGGAUGGGGGAAAAGGUGUUUUUAGUUUGCUUUUAGUUUCUCACUUUUCUAGUCUACUAGUGAUAGGAAAAAAAUUACAUUAAUCUCCCUAUGCUGAGUUUAUUUUGCCCGUGAUGAUUACUGUUGAGUGAUCUCCCUGUCCUUAUCUCAACCCUUGAGCCCUUUCCAUUGUAUUUUCUCCCCCAUUCCCUUUGAAGAGUGGAAGUGAGAGAGUGAUUGUGGUAGAGUUCAGCUGCGUAGUAGGGUAAAACUACCACAUAUGCUAGCACAUUUUAUAUUGGAUAUGAUCAUCACUAUAAUUUUAGGCCAAAAUUGAUACAAACGGUCUUUGCAUAAACAUAAAGAUUGCUUUAAUGUUGCUUUAUAUAUUCUAGCUCAUUUAACAGAAAUGAUAUUGAAUGUUCAUACCUGUUCUGGAGUAGUUGCACAUGGAUUUUUAUUUUGUCAUAUAAGUCUUAGUAAAAAGAUAAUAUUCCUCAUUAACCUAAACUAUCCUGAUAUAGUUGCAAUUUUGACAAGAUAUCAAUCAUGAAUUGUUUUACCUUUGUCUCUGAGGAGCCAAAGGCUGAAAUGGUAUGUCCUUCACUGGUCUUAUAGAUACAACAAAGCAUUUUUCAACCCUUGUUUACUCUGAAUUUACACAUACGGUACGCUCUCCUGCUUUUGAUGUCUCUUAAUGUCAAAAGUUUCCCACUUGAGUAUCCCAGACAUAUGCAGAAAUAUCUUCUCAGAAACAAUCAUUUCUCAAGUACCAGGUGCAAAUCUUCAGUUUGAGCCUAAGAAGAUUCUCAGCUCCCAGACAGGUAACAAAACAGUGAUUUUUGCCUUCAUUCACCAAGAGUUACAUCACACACAAGUAUUUUUGAGCAUUGAUUUUUUCAUCCUGUCAGGUGCUCUUAGGAAUACACUCAGAACACCAGCCUCCCUACAGACAGGCAUAAAUAUCGAGAAGAAGAUUCAAAGUGUAAUCAAGCCAGGAUUUCUCAUUUCCUCUUGUCUGCAAUGUUCUAAAUCUCCUGCAGUCAUUCCAAACAGCCAUCCUGUAUCUUUAAGGUAAAAAGUAAAUACAAAAUCAAUAAAAUGUGAUUUUAAAGUUUGUUAAUGGUACUU
ensembl:lncRNA